ACUCAACACUAAUACAAUUAAAAAGGGUGAGUUUGGAUUGUAAAGGCAUGCCUUCUUUGUCAAGGAUCCCUGAUCAGUCUGGUAGCCCUAAACCUGUUAAUAGGAGUUU
rnacentral:sRNA from 2 species